UACGUAGGGUGCGAGCGUUAAUCGGAAUUACUGGGCGUAAAGCGUGCGCAGGCGGUUAUAUAAGACAGUUGUGAAAUCCCUGGGCUCAACCUAGGAAUUGCAUCUGUGACUGUAUAGCUAGAGUACGGUAGAGGGGGAUGGAAUUCCGCGUGUAGCAGUGAAAUGCGUAGAUAUGCGGAGGAACACCGAUGGCGAAGGCAAUCCCCUGGACCUGUACUGACGCUCAUGCACGAAAGCUUGGGGAGCAAACAGG
rnacentral:rRNA from 1 species